GGUCUAGAAGACAAGAAAAGAAAAUGUAUCAACUUGUAAACUCUGAUGUAAUAGUGAGAUUGUAAUUUGGAAGUAAAAAUGUAAACUGAAACUGUGAUGUAAAACGUGGUUGUGAAAUGAAUGCUUGUAAUAGCAAGUAGAUUAUGUAUUUGAUACUUCCUUAUGCAAUCUGGAUUGAUAUCCGUUCCUUGUUGGAACAUUCGUUGAUUGUUUGGAUUGCGACGCCUUGGACGUACUGGGGAGACUCUGUCCGCGUACAGGGGAAUUUCCGGUCCGUUCGGCGGUCUGUCGGCGGCGCCGCGACCCGGUCCAAAUUGGCGGUUGGUCGCGGGGCGUGACAAGAAAUAACAUUCAUCACAAGAGCACUUUCAUUGAUAGAAGGAGAAGAUACAGAUAAUUUAAAUAAGCCAUCACUCAAAAAUUCUUUUCCUACAAAAUUCACUGCUUUUGUUAUAACUACCAUAUUACAUUCAAAAACUAGCUUAAAAUCCCGUUGAACUAAAAAAGAACUACUAAUCAAAUUCUUCCUAA
rnacentral:lncRNA from 1 species